rnacentral:rRNA from 1 species
UACGGGGGGGGCAAGCGUUGUUCGGAAUUACUGGGCGUAAAGGGCUCGUAGGCGGCCAACUAAGUCAGACGUGAAAUCCCUCGGCUUAACCGGGGAACUGCGUCUGAUACUGGAUGGCUAGAGGUUGGGAGAGGGACGCGGAAUUCCAGGUGUAGCGGUGAAAUGCGUAGAUAUCUGGAGGAACACCGGUGGCGAAGGCGGCAUCCUGGACCAAUUCUGACGCUGAGGAGCGAAAGCCAGGGGAGCAAACGGG